GACAGAGGAUGCAAGCGUUAUCCGGAAUGAUUGGGCGUAAAGCGUCUGUAGGUGGCUUUUUAAGUCCGCCGUCAAAUCCCAGGGCUCAACCCUGGACAGGCGGUGGAAACUACCAAGCUGGAGUACGGUAGGGGCAGAGGGAAUUUCCGGUGGAGCGGUGAAAUGCGUAGAGAUCGGAAAGAGCACCAACGGCGAAAGCACUCUGCGGGGCCGGCGCUGACACUGAGAGACGAAAGCUAGGGGAGCGAAUGGG
rnacentral:rRNA from 1 species